rnacentral:lncRNA from 1 species
CUGAACUGGCGAAACCCUGGGCCACCAAAGCGGAGCGUGGGAACUUAACCACCAGGCCAUGGGGCAGCCCCAAACCUGAGCUUGCCUGACCUAGUGCAGGAAGAAAAGGAAGGCCUGGAAAUAUGAUUCUUGCUUUACAGAGACGGAAUGAUAAAAUCGAUGCAGAACACGUGGUAAAAGCACAGGUCAAGGAUGUGGUAGGAGCUUCUGCUUUUUGGAUGAGAAGCAAACAACCGUGAUAAACUUCAGGUCUGUCCUUCCAUCACCUUGACAUCAGCUUUUCCUCCAUCUAUGGAAAGUUCCAUUGUGUCCCUGUCCAGUGUGACAAGGCACUAGAAAUCAGAGCUGCUCUGUCUGUUCUC